CAGGUGCUGCACGGCUGUCGUCAGCUCGUGUCGUGAGAUGUUGGGUUAAGUCCCGUUAACGAGCGCAACCCUUGUCCUUAGUUACCAGCACGUUAUGGUGGGCACUCUAAGGAGACUGCCGGUGACAAACCGGAGGAAGGUGGGGAUGACGUCAAGUCAUCAUGGCCCUUACGGCCUGGGCUACACACGUGCUACAAUGGUCGGUACAAAGGGUUGCCAAGCCGCGAGGUGGAGCUAAUCCCAUAAAACCGAUCGUAGUCCGGAUCGCAGUCUGCAACUCGACUGCGUGAAGUCGGAAUCGCUAGUAAUCGUGAAUCAGAAUGUCACGGUGAAUACGUUCCCGGGCCUU
rnacentral:rRNA from 1 species